rnacentral:rRNA from 1 species
CCUACGGGUGGCUGCAGUGGGGAAUUUUGGACAAUGGGCGAAAGCCUGAUCCAGCAAUGCCGCGUGAGUGAAGAAGGCCUUCGGGUUGUAAAGCUCUUUCAGUCGAGAAGAAAAAAUUAUGAUUAAUAAUCAUAAUUGCUGACUGUAUCGACAGAAGAAGCACCGGCUAACUACGUGCCAGCAGCCGCGGUAAUACGUAGGGUGCAAGCGUUAAUCGGAAUUACUGGGCGUAAAGGGUGCGCAGGCGGUUUUGUAAGUCAGAUGUGAAAUCCCCG